GGUGAGGUCGCAUAGCGGACUAGUGCAGAGGUCUUGAAAACCUCCGUAGCGAUUUAUCGUUACCGUGGGUUCGAAUCCCACCCUCACCGCCG
rnacentral:tRNA from 2 species